rnacentral:rRNA from 1 species
UACGGAGGAUCCGAGCGUUAUCCGGAUUUAUUGGGUUUAAAGGGUGCGUAGGCGGUUUGAUAAGUUAGAGGUGAAAUGUCGGGGCUCAACCCCGAAACUGCCUCUAAUACUGUUGGACUAGAGAAUAGUUGCGGUAGGCGGAAUGUAUGGUGUAGCGGUGAAAUGCAUAGAUAUCACGCAGAACCCCGAUUGCGAAGGCAGCAUGCCGGCUUCCUACUGACGCUGAAGCACGAAAGCGUGGGGAUCGAACAGG